rnacentral:rRNA from 1 species
AGAGUUUGAUCCUGGCUCAGGAUGAACGCCGGCGGUGUGCCUAAUACAUGCAAGUCGAACGCGUUGGCCCAACUGAUUGAACGUGCUUGCACGGACUUGACGUUGGUUUACCAGCGAGUGGCGGACGGGUGAGUAACACGUAGGUAACCUGCCCCAAAGCGGGGGAUAACAUUUGGAAACAGAUGCUAAUACCGCAUAACAAUUUGAAUCGCAUGAUUCAAAUUUAAAAGAUGGCUUCGGCUAUCACUUUGGGAUGGACCUGCGGCGCAUUAGCUUGUUGGUAGGGUAACGGCCUACCAAGGCUGUGAUGCGUAGCCGAGUUGAGAGACUGAUCGGCCACAAUGGAACUGAGACACGGUCCAUACUCCUACGGGAGGCAGCAGUAGGGAAUCUUCCACAAUGGGCGCAAGCCUGAUGGAGCAACACCGCGUGAGUGAAGAAGGGUUUCGGCUCGUAAAGCUCUGUUGUUAGAGAAGAACGUGCGUGAGAGCAACUGUUCACGCAGUGACGGUAUCUAACCAGAAAGUCACGGCUAACUACGUGCCAGUAGCCGCGGUAAUACGUAGGUGGCAAGCGUUAUCCGGAUUUAUUGGGCGUAAAGCGAGCGCAGGCGGUUUGAUAAGUCUGAUGUGAAAGCCUUUGGCUUAACCAAAGAAGUGCAUCGGAAACUGUCAGACUUGAGUGCAGAAGAGGACAGUGGAACUCCAUGUGUAGCGGUGGAAUGCGUAGAUAUAUGGAAGAACACCAGUGGCGAAGGCGGCUGUCUGGUCUGCAACUGACGCUGAGGCUCGAAAGCAUGGGUAGCGAACAGGAUUAGAUACCCUGGUAGUCCAUGCCGUAAACGAUGAGUGCUAGGUGUUGGAGGGUUUCCGCCCUUCAGCGCCGCAGCU